CAGAAGAUACCCAAUAAAUGAACUGAGAACAGAAACACCACACUCCUUAAUAAAGCCAGGCAGCUCUUAAUAUCUGUUUUCAUGGGCAACAUGUUUAAGCAGCUAAAAUCAAAAUUCUUGUCUCAGUCAUUAGCUAAAGACAUUAACCUUCCCAACUGAUUUUAACUAUUCUUCCUGGGCUUGCCAGGAACUGAUAAUGGAUUAGAGAAAUGGUCAACCGUAGGAACAAAAAGCAGUCAGCCUAAACAGUCACAUGAAAAUAAUUGAGACUCAGAGAGCAUACCCGUGUUCCAUGAACUCUGAGUGUUCCCUAAAAACACGUGGACAUCACAGCACUUAUGAUGCUGAGUGUUGCUGGCAGCUGCCCAAUGAAUCUUGAUACAGAAAACCUAAACCCUCUCAUUAACUCUAACCCUACAUCGAUUUCUCCUCUUUUGAACCUUUGUUACAGACUACUGUGUUUUAAAAUUGUUUUCAUGUCUUGGUGCUCCCACCCUUAUAAACUCUUUUGAUAUUCUUCUCACACCUAGCACCCAAGAUAAGGGUGUUCUUAACCUGGACUGGUGUCAGUCACAGGCAAAAUCCAAUGGGUCAUUUAAAAGAGCAUACCCCAUGGUCAAGGUUUCAAGACUGGGAAAGAAAUUUAAUUUUAAGGUAUUUAUAAAAAGGGCAAUAGUUAUGAAAUGUAUAGUGGGUUUGAUGACACCAAUCUAGUCU
rnacentral:lncRNA from 1 species